CCUCGCGGCGGUUCCCACGCGAGCCCCCCCGCUGCCUGCGCGCUUCCAGAACGGGAGUUAGGCUUUGCGCAAGCCGUUACCUCUCCCUAGCGGUGACUCUAGCAGCCGAGGAAAGAGGUCAGACCCAUUGCUACAGGUUCUUAAACUGAGGCCAGGGGUCAAGUGGCUUUGCCAGGAGCGGAGCCCUCCUCCCCACCCCACCACCUACAAGGUCGUGGACUUGAGGGAGCUCCGGCCGUGGGUGGCACUCCCAGUGUCCCCAGACUGUGGUUCAGAGCGUUGAAGCUGAGUUGGAAAAGUUCCUGCGUGUGGCUGAAGAGGACUGGAGCUGGAAAUGAAAGGAGCGGGACAGCUCAAUGUGUGGGAGAUAUGACGAGUGUUCAUUCAUGGCUGGUGUCAUCAAGGUGCCUCUAAACAUAGAAUUCAGGCUGAAGUCCUCCGCUCCCUGGAAGCAGCUGGGAGAAGGUGUAAAUAUAGUGUCAGGCUGUAAGAUUCUGCUCAGCAGUCACUUCCACCCAGAAGCCCUCCCUGAGACGCCUGGCCAGGCUGCGUGCUUCUCCCAGGCUCUCCCCCGCCACACAGGCGCACCUCUGCUGAGUCACUGACCUGGACUGUGCUGGCUUCCUGGUGGACAUCAAGUAUCUGGAGAGCAAGACCCAGUGGAACAUUGAUCUCCUGCCCUCUUCCCAGGAGCCUCUGCUCUCUCAGGUAGAAGCCAGGAGUACGUUGCCUUCGACGAUGGUGCCUGGAACAAGAAGAGCAGAUGCUGUGUCUCAAGGGGAAACUGUCGUUGGCUGAUGAACUCCAGACCAGGUGAAGACCAGCGACACCUUCUUCUGCUUUUUUCUUCCAGGAAUAUCCACGGAAACUUUCCCCAAACCACCUGCAAGGGCUUGUUCAGGACUCGGUUUGCACGCAGGGUCAUCCCUGGCUACCUCUGCUGUGCAGGGACUCUGCCUCUGUUCUGAACGUGGCCGCCCCCUGAAUACCAGCAGCACACCGUUUGUUGGGACGGAACAUCAGGUGCAGAGCCUGUGCCUCCGUCUCUUUACGCAAAGUAGAACUUAGUUGUCCAACAUCAGUGUAUUUUCCCUUUACUCAUGUGUGUUUCCAAUCAGAAAAGACAAGUGGUGCCGAUUAUGUAUGGUGCUGUGGUGAUAUGAGCUAAUGCCCAUGACCCUGAGAGAAAGGGAGGGAGAGAAGGUGUGGGGAGGGGAUAGAGAGAGAGAGAGAUUUAGAUUUUCCAUUUGAUUUAUUAUUAAUAGCUAGUCUGGCAGCAAAAUGAAUUCUUAGACAGAAAUGAAAUAUAGGUGUUUUCAGUUUUCUGAAAUCAUCUUGGCUCGGUGAUAAAGUAGCAUUUAAUGUUCAGAAGUUAAUUGACAGCCACAUUAAAAUGGUACUUUGAUAAAGAUAUGCAAUGACAAAUUCUUAAAUUUAAUAAUUUGUUUCAAUUAUUGUUGAGAUUUAUGUCUUCUCUACUAGUUUUUAAUUUAGUCUAUGCUGAAACUUGAUGCUUUAUUUUUGGUAUUUACCAUAACAUCUAACAUAAUGAAUAAUAUUCAUAACACCUGUGUAGACUUAAUGAAUAACAAAUGAAUAAAUUAUAUAGACCCACUGUCCUGCAGUGUCCCUAGUACCCUCCUACUGUUUUGUUAAUGUCAUGUUUCUCUCCAUCUAUCUGUCUUCCCUCAUACCCUUUAAAAUUUCUCCGUAGGCAGGUGCUGUGUCUCAGCAAGUUAAAGCCACUGCUUGGAAGGCCAGAUCCCAUAUCCAGGUGUCGGGUCUGGUUCCUGGUUACUAGGUUUCAGAUCCAGCUUUCUGCUAAUGUACACCCUAGGAGGCAGCAUGUAAUGGCUCAAGUCCUGGAGUCCCUGUCACCCACAUGGGAGACCCAGAUGGAUUUACAGACUUCCUUUUUUUUUUUUUUAAAUAAAGAUUUAUUUAUUUAUUUGAAAUUCAAGAGUUACACAGAGAGAGGAGAGGCAGAGAGAGAGAGAGAGAGGGAGAGAGAGAGAGAGAGAGAGAGAGAGAGGUUUUCCAUCCGCUGGUUCACUCCCCAAUUGGCCUGAAUGGCUGGAGCUGUGCCGAUCCGAAGCCAGGAGCCAGGAGCUUCUUCCGAGUCUCCUACACAGGUGCAGGGGCCCAAGGGCUUGGGCCAUCUUCUACUGCUUUUCCAGGCCACUGCAGAGAGCUGGAUCAGAAGUGGAGCAGCCAGGACUGGAACCGCCACCCAUAUGGGAUGCUGGCACUGUAGGCGGCGGCUUUACCCACUACGCAACAGCGCCGACCCCAAUUUACAGACCACGUCUAACUUUAGCCUGACCUGGCCUCUACUGUUGUGGGCACUUGGGGAAUAAACCAGUGGAUGGAAGAUUUCUCUCUCUCUCUCUCUCUCUCUCUCUCUCUCUCUCUCUCUUUCUCUGCCUUUCAAAUAAAUCGAUAAACAUUUGAGAAAAAAAACUUAUCCAGAAACAUUAACUGUGAUGACAUACAAAAACUAGCUCAAAGGAUUAAUAAGUGAAGGUGCUGUUAGGUCCUGUAUUAGAUAAACCACUGGGUCUUUGUGACUUAAGACAAAGAAGUUUGUUUCAUACUUACGAGGUUCAAACGAGGUACUCCUUAUUGGCAGGUGAUUCUUUUUGAGGUAACGACCACCAGGAUUCUGCCAUGCUGUGACGCUUUCACCUUCAACAUGUGACUUCUCAGGUCCCACACUUGUCUGCCUCAAGUUGAUAGAAGGGAAAAAACAACAAGAACUGGGCAUAUCCGGUUUUUAGGUCUUGUACCACCAGCAAGCCCGCAUGAUGAUAAGGGAGGCUACAAGUUAUAGUCUCUUUGUGUGUCUAGGAAGAAUAGAGAACAAAUGACAAACAAACAGACACUCAUCUCUGCCUAACUCGAUUUUUAAAGUGAAGGGUAGGAGGAUGUGAGGAUGUUAUGGAAAAAUGGCUCAUAAAAAGUCUCAAAGGCCAACUUUACAACCACAGGAACACAAGACAUCCUUUCUACCUCUCUUCAUUUCUAAUGAACUUCACUCGUAAAAUAUAGGUUAGAUUUCCCUCUUCUAUACCUACCUUCAUUGCACCCUAUGUUUAUUUUUCCAAAGCAUUUGUCACCCUAGACUGAGUUUAUUUCCUUACUUGUAUGUGUUCUUUAUGAGACCAAUGCAGGCAAACUCUGCAAAGGUUUCCUGCAUCUUUGAUUCAACACGAUUUAGUCAGAAAAACAGCACAGUCAUUUUAAUAGAGAGAACUUAAUACAAUGAAUUGGGUAACUAGGCACUGGAGGACUGGAAAGGCAAGGAUGGAACAGUACAGGAACCACAGCAAGCAGCUACCAUUCCUAUGGUUGGGAAUAAAGGAACAUAGUUGGGGCUACUAGAACUUCAAAGCCUGCCCAGCUGGGACUCAGAUUUCCUAGGAGAAUGUGUUGCCUGCCUGGUGCUGGUGCCUUAGCUGCUUAGUAGACAGGCCCUGUGAAUCACAGAGGAAGUGACCCAGAACCAUGGGGGUGCCGAUUAGCUAGAGCUGUUAUGGGGGGCAGGGGUGGAGAAUGGGAUUAGGCUGCUUUGGGACUGUUGAAGGAAAAACAGGUACCACCCACUAUUACCCAGUGAAGACCAAUAUUCUGGCAGUGUUGAUGGACAGCAGCAAACCGGAAGGCCCAGGUCUCAUCUCUUACGUCCAGGCUCCCUCUUGCAUCUUCUGUUGACAGAACAUAGUGUGGAGCCUGCUGACCAGACUGGUUUAUAGAGUCCUAGAUUGGAAUCACAGAGGGUGGAUUUGGAGCUGAAGGAUUAUAGUUUAAGAUGAUACCAUCCAGGGGGGCCGGCACUGUGGCACAGUGGGUUAAAGCCCUGGCCUGAAGCAUCAGUAUCCCAUAUGGGUGCCGGUUUGAGACCUGGCCACUCUACUUCUGAUCCAGCUCUCUGCUAUGGCCUGGUAAAAGAUGGCCCAAGUCCUUGGGCCCCUGCACCCAUGUGGGAGACCCAGAAGAAGCUCCUGGCUCCUGGCUUCGGAUAGGCACAGCUCUGGAAAUUACAGCCAAUUGGGGAGUGAACCACCGGAUGGAAGAUCUCUCUCUUUGUGUCUCCCUCUGUCUGUAACUCUUUCAAAUAAAUAAAAAAAAAAAAGAUGACACCAUCCAGUUCACUGUGAUUGGGCACUAUUGAACCCUCCAUAAAUGUUUAUGAAAUGAGUGAAUGCACAGGCAACAAGCAUUGGGUGCUGUGUCCCAGGAACUGAUUAAAGGCUAGGGAGAAGUAUUAAUGAAGGGGAAUCUCAGGGCAGAGAAACAAGGAAUGGGACUUCCUGUGCAUGGGAACUGCUGCAUAGAAUGCAGCCAGCGCUAAACCCAGGAAAGACACUAGAAAUCAGCAGGGAACUCCUCUACCCAAGGAGGCUGUGCAGCCUUGUGAGAUACAGAUAAGGGAAUUGUGACGAAUCCAACUGGUACCCCUGCUAGAGGUCUUGGAAAAGCUACAGGAGAUGAGUGUUCACAACUUCUCCAGUCGUGCUGGGGUGUUGGAAAGAAGGCUCCUGGCUUGCCUUUUCUCUAACAGGACACAGCCUUUCCCUGGUGGAUGUGGGUGAUGAGCGAGAUGCUUGGAAACAGACCAGCCUCCUCUGCUGUGUUGAGCGAGGUCUGAAGACAGCAGAUCUUGGGGCAUUCCUCUACUGACAGCCGUUUCUCCACCUCGAAUGAGUAUGCAUGGUUGUAGGAAGCAGAGCUUUUAGCUAAAGCUUCUGGAUUCAUUUCAAAUUGAGAUUGUGCUUCCAGAAUCAGAAGGGCCAAACAGCAGGAGGGAGGCAAAGCUACACGGUGUGGAAAAGCUUCUGGAGAAAGCUUGUUCUUGUGCUGCAAGGUUGAAGAACACAACGACAGUAAAACAUACAAGUGAGUCCUUCUGAUGAGCUCAUGAUGGGCUCAGCUCCCUUCUCUACCUCCCUCAGGACACUGAACAGCUGGUGGUGUGGACUGACAGAACCCAGCAAGGAGAAAGUGGUCCGGAUAAACAUCCAGACCCUUCCUUUUGGUGGAAGUGAUUUUUCUAGACUGAUCUGAACAGGAUGCAAAGCUGACAAAUAAGGCAGUGAGGAUGUAAAAGCUCUUGCCAAUGAGACUUGUCUUAGCCCAUUCAGACUUCUGUAUUAAAGCAACCACAGGGUACUCUGGCUUAUAAAUAACAGAAAGAUAUUCAUCAUUUUGGAACUUGGUUCAAGAUCAAAGUGACGGUGGGUUCAAAGAUGAAUGUGGACCAGCGGCGCGGCUCACUAGGCUAAUCCUCCACCUUGCGGCGCCGGCACACCGGGUUCUAGUCCCGAUUGGGGUGCCGGAUUCUGUCCCGGUUGCCCCUCUUCCAGGCCAGCUCUCUGCUGUGGCCAGGGAGUGCAGUGGAGGAUGGCCCAAGUGCUUGGGCCCUGCACCCCAUGGGAGACCAGGAUAAGUACCUGGAUCCUGCCAUCGGAUCAGUGCGGUGCGCCGGCCACAGCGCGCCGGCCGCAUUGGAGGGUGAACCAACGGCAAAAGGAAGACCUUUCUCUCUGUCUCUCUCUCUCACUGUCUACUCUGCCUGUCAAUAAAAUAAAUAAAUAAAAAUAAAAUAAAAUAAAAUAAAAUAAAAUAAAAUAAAAGGAUGAAUGUGAGCCACUUCCUGCUCAGAGAUGGUGCCUUCUGGCGGUGACCUCCUGUGGAGGAAAUGGAUAACUCUGGUCUCGCUAGCCACUUAGGAGGGCACUAAUACAGUCCUGAGGGCUCUGCCUUCAAGCUUUAACCACCUCCCAAAGAUCCCACCUCCGCAGACCACCAUCCUAGGGGGUCAGGUUUCAACAUGGGAAUUUGGGGAGGGGAACACAAACCUCCAGACCACAGCAGGACUGAAUUUAUAUGCGUAUAGAAUCAUAGCUGAAUACUUGUGCUAAAAGUGAUUACAAAAACAACACAAAUAAUAAUAAUAGAGAGUGUAAGAGUCAUGAUAACAAUAGAACAAGGUACACAAUUCUAAUACUUUGGGAGGUAGGGUAAG